rnacentral:rRNA from 1 species
UUGUCUCUAUACACCUGUUGCUUUGGCGGGCCCACCGGGGCCACCUGGUCGCCGGGGGACGCACGUCCCCGGGCCCGCGCCCGCCGAAGCGCUCUGUGAACCCUGAUGAAGAUGGGCUGUCUGAGUACUAUGAAAAUUGUCAAAACUUUCAACAAUGGAUCUCUUGGUUCCGGCAUCGAUGAAGAACGCAGCGAAAUGCGAUAAGUAAUGUGAAUUGCAGAAUUCCGUGAAUCAUCGAAUCUUUGAACGCACAUUGCGCCCCCUGGCAUUCCGGGGGGCAUGCCUGUCCGAGCGUCAUUUCUGCCCUCAAGCACGGCUUGUGUGUUGGGUGUGGUCCCCCCGGGGACCUGCCCGAAAGGCAGCGGCGACCUCCGUCUGGUCCUCGAGCGUAUGGGGCUCUGUCACUCGCUCGGGAGGGACCUGCGGGGGUUGGUCACCACCAUGUUUUUUUUACCACGGUUGACCUCGGAUCAGGUAGGAGUUACCCGCUGAACUUAAGCAUAUCAAUAAG